GAUGAACGCUGGCGGCGUGCCUAAUACAUGCAAGUCGAGCGAACGGACGAGAAGCUUGCUUCUCUGAUGUUAGCGGCGGACGGGUGAGUAACACGUGGAUAACCUACCUAUAAGACUGGGAUAACUUCGGGAAACCGGAGCUGAUACCGGAUGAUAUUUUGAACCGCAUGGUUCAAAAGUGAAAGACGGUCUUGCUGUCACUUAUAGAUGGAUCCGCGCUGCAUUAGCUAGUUGGUAAGGUAACGGCUUACCAAGGCAACGAUGCAUAGCCGACCUGAGAGGGUGAUCGGCCACACUGGAACUGAGACACGGUCCAGACUCCUACGGGAGGCAGCAGUAGGGAAUCUUCCGCAAUGGGCGAAAGCCUGACGGAGCAACGCCGCGUGAGUGAUGAAGGUCUUCGGAUCGUAAAACUCUGUUAUUAGGGAAGAACAUAUGUGUAAGUAACUGUGCACAUCUUGACGGUACCUAAUCAGAAAUCCACGGCUAACUACGUG
rnacentral:rRNA from 1 species